AGUAGGGUGAUGGGUCUCUAGACUUUUUCCUGACAAACCCCUGUUUUCCAAGGUCAGAAGAAGCCUGGGCCUGAGGGGAAAGCAGGAAUGUCAAUGUGCCUCCCAGCCACAGCCAUGUGAAGACUGGGCAUCCAUGGACCCAUUUCUGAAAUGAUGAAUGGGAUUACUCCAAAUCUUGAGCAGCCAAGGAGGAGGCUCUGAGCGGCAUUCAGAGUGUAUGAAAUAAACAAGAAUUCACAGUACUAAAGUACUCCCCAGUUUAUGGUCCUGGAGGUAUUAAAAAGCAGAAACACUUUGGAAAGAGCCCCUGCCCUGUGAGCAGCGAAUGGCCCGAGAUCCCGGAAGGAGAAAGGCAGCAGACCCGAGAGGGGAAAGCUGCGGCGGUGGCGUUGACUCGACUCCGGGUGAGCCCGCAGAACACUUAUGAAAUGGAGAAAGAGGGCUGUAGGAAUGAGGGGAGUUUACAAUUCUUCCAAAGAAUGCUGUUUACCUCUAACUGCAAGGAUCGAGCUUAGAACCCGUCACCCUCUGCAGGAGAAAUAGGAGAAAGCCUGUUUCUGUAGAACGUCGUCCUGGAAACCCUGUAGCAUCACCUACUCUGUCCUACAGAGCAUGAUGGAUAGGAAUCGGCUCAACAGACAAUCACUCCUCCACGGCCCAGGCCUUAUGCCCAUUCUGGUACCUUGCAGAGAGCCCAAAAGCAAGCAAGCAGUUCCAUACUUUAUGUUUUUAAAAAGGGCUCACAGCCUGUGUGGUUCCCAGGGAGAGUUACAGUGUCAGAAAUCCACAGGCAGCAGCUCGGCUCUGUCCUCUGGGGUCACUCACCAGGAGUGGACUCUACUCCAUGGCAGCGAGUUUGAGCUUUUGAGUUUUGAUCUUUGUAAAACCAUAUGAAGCAUCACUCAUGUAAGAACCCAGAAUUGCAAACAUGCGUAUGAAACAGGGAUCUCUUGUACAGGGAAUUAAGAAGUUUAGGAGUUUGUGUGAGAUGGGCCAGAAGGAAGGUGUUCAUUUUAAUCAUAAGUAUUUUUGUACCUCCCACUUGUGUAUUGCUAAAUUUCACACUUAAAAUGAGUCUUCCUUCCCCUUCCCUCAAUUGCUCCUCAAACCCACUGGCAAGCUGUAUAAUUCUAUGCAAACAAAGAGAAAGCAAAGGUCAAGAACUGAAAGAGAGAAAGGCAAGAGAAAGGAAGAAUGAAAAAGAGACAGAGGUACAAGAUUCAAGGACAAAGAAAAGGUCUCCUCUUUACAAUGACUACCUUGUUUUUUCCCAAAAUACAGUGUGAUCUUAAAAUAGUUUAUCUUACCUCUCAGUUUUAUAAAAUGAAUUAUUUAAUCCUUUACUGAGUGGUACAAGUUUUAAAUGCAAGAAACCACUUCUAACAUUGAAGUUGCAUUUUAAAAGUUUAUGAUACUGAAUAUUACAAUACUGGUGUCAUGUAUAUGUAUCGUGUGCACAUCUAGGGAGUUUGAUUUUACGUUUUUAGUCCAGAAUCCAGAUCAUUCAUAAAAUAUCUUAACAUACAUUUAUUUACAAGAAAGAGGUUUAUACAAAUGUGAUGAAGAAAGCUGGUAGUGUCCAGCUAUCAAAAG